GUCAAAUAAUUAAAUAAAAUCUUAAAAAAAAAACAAAAAAAACACCCCUUUCAGUUUAGACAUCCCUCUUUGAAGGAGAGGAAGACCACAGUAAUGACCCCAGGGAUGUCUGGGGUAUGGGUUGACCAAGGACUGAGGGUCUCCUUGGGAGCACAUCAGCCCAGAGAGGGGCAGAGGUGUCCUCUUCCUGACUGGCCUUGACCUCCCUCUCCUUCCCCCACUGCCUCAGUGGAGCCUGUCUCCCCACCUGGCACUGGCCCCCAGCCCCACCCCAGGGCAUCUUCCCUGCCUGUUUCUCCCAGCUGGUUGCUGGUGGACUUUGUCCGCUCCCUCCCGCCCCGGGUGCACAGACAUGGCCUCUUCUGCUCAGUCAGACCCACACUUCCUGAGCUCCACUAGCCGCUUGCUGCAGGGGUGUGCCAGACACCUCACGGAGUCCGUGUCUUGCCGGCAAGACUGGUAAACCUGACUGCGCUCCUAUUUCUCUCUGGUACCUUCUCUGCAAAAGUGGGGCUUGUUCCAGAAUAAGGCAUUGUGUGGUGCAGCUGAGGUGGAGGGGUCAAGGCAGGGCGUGGUAGGUGCCUCGGCUGGACACAGAGGACAGCCCCAGCCUUGGGAGGCCCCGUGUGCCAGGCCAGCUGUUAGGGCCUUCUGCUGAAUGGUGUCUGAGGUUUUGAAGUGGGGUACCCAGGAUCUGAUUUAUAGAAGUGACUGAGUGAUGACACUAUUAGGCUGAUGGCACUGAGAGAAGACGGGUAGGGGAAUAUUAGCUUGGUGAAUGGGGGCAGGAACUCAGGACCAAUUGGUUUGUAUAUGGAAGGUAUGUGCAUGUUUACCAGCUUAAGGGUCAGCUUGCCCUGGGAAGGUAGCUUUCUCCCUGGACAGCUGGGCUCCCCCAAGAUGUCAGAGCAUCAUAAAAUACAAAAAAAAAAAAAAAAAAAAUUAAAA